rnacentral:rRNA from 1 species
GUGGGGAAUUUUGGACAAUGGGCGCAAGCCUGAUCCAGCAAUGCCGCGUGCAGGAAGAAGGCCUUCGGGUUGUAAACUGCUUUUGUACGGAACGAAAAGGCUCUGGUUAAUACCUGGGGCUCAUGACGGUACCGUAAGAAUAAGCACCGGCUAACUACGUGCCAGCAGCCGCGGUAAUACGUAGGGUGCAAGCGUUAAUCGGAAUUACUGGGCGUAAAGCGUGCGCAGGCGGUUUUGUAAGACAGGCGUGAAAUCCCCGGGCUCAACCUGGGAAUGGCGCUUGUGGCUGCAAGGCUGGAGUGCGGCAGAGGUGGAUGGAAUUCCGCGUGUAGCAGUGAAAUGCGUAGAUAUGCGGGGGAACACCGAUGGCGAAGGCAAUCCCCUGGGCCUGCACUGACGCUCAUGCACGAAAGCGUGGGGAGCAAACAGGAUUAGAUACCCUUGUAGUCC